rnacentral:tRNA from 1 species
GGCCCCAUAGUUCAAUGGAUAGAAUUUCAGAUUCCGGUUCUGACGAUUUGGGUUCGAAUCCCAAUGGGGUCA